rnacentral:rRNA from 1 species
UACGUAGGGGGCAAGCGUUGUCCGGAUUUAUUGGGCGUAAAGAGCGUGUAGGCGGCCAGAUAGGUCAGCUGUGAAAACUCGAGGCUCAACCUCGAGACGCCGAUGGAAACCAGCAGACUAGAGUCCGGAAGAGGAGAGUGGAAUUCCUGGUGUAGCGGUGAAAUGCGCAGAUAUCAGGAAGAACACCCGUGGCUAAGGCGGCUCUCUAGUACGGUACUGACGCUGAGACGCGAAAGCGUGGGGAGCGAACAGG